rnacentral:rRNA from 1 species
GACGAACGCUGGCGGCGUGCUUAACACAUGCAAGUCGAACGGAAAGGCCCUGCUUUUGUGGGGUGCUCGAGUGGCGAACGGGUGAGUAACACGUGAGUAACCUGCCCUUGACUUUGGGAUAACUUCAUGAAACUGGGGCUAAUACCGGAUAGGAGCUCCUGCUGCAUGGUGGGGGUUGGAAAGUUUCGGCGGUUGGGGAUGGACUCGCGGCUUAUCAGCUUGUUGGUGGGGUAGUGGCUUACCAAGGCUUUGACGGGUAGCCGGCCUGAGAGGGUGACCGGCCACAUUGGGACUGAGAUACGGCCCAGACUCCUACGGGAGGCAGCAGUGGGGAAUAUUGCACAAUGGGCGGAAGCCUGAUGCAGCAACGCCGCGUGCGGGAUGACGGCCUUCGGGUUGUAAACCGCUUUCGCCUGUGACGAAGCGUGAGUGACGGUAAUGGGUAAAGAAGCACCGGCUAACUACG